rnacentral:rRNA from 1 species
AAAUUGAAGAGUUUGAUCAUGGCUCAGAUUGAACGCUGGCGGCAGGCCUAACACAUGCAAGUCGAACGGUAACAGGAAGCAGCUUGCUGCUUUGCUGACGAGUGGCGGACGGGUGAGUAAUGUCUGGGAAACUGCCUGAUGGAGGGGGAUAACUACUGGAAACGGUAGCUAAUACCGCAUAACGUCGCAAGACCAAAGAGGGGGACCUUCGGGCCUCUUGCCAUCGGAUGUGCCCAGAUGGGAUUAGCUAGUAGGUGGGGUAACGGCUCACCUAGGCGACGGUC